GAUGAACGCUGGCGGCGUGCCUAAUACAUGCAAGUCGAGCGAACAGACGAGGAGCUUGCUCCUUCGACGUUAGCGGCGGACGGGUGAGUAACACGUAGGUAACCUACCUAUAAGACUGGGAUAACUUCGGGAAACCGGAGCUAAUACCGGAUAAUAUUUCGAACCGCAUGGUUCGAUAGUGAAAGAUGGCUUUGCUAUCACUUAUAGAUGGACCUGCGCCGUAUUAGCUAGUUGGUAAGGUAACGGCUUACCAAGGCAACGAUACGUAGCCGACCUGAGAGGGUGAUCGGCCACACGGGAACUGAGACACGGUCCAGAAUCCUACGGGAGGCAGCAGUAGGGAAUCUUCCGCAAUGGGCGAAAGCCUGACGGAGCAACGACGCGUGAGUGAUGAAGGUCUUCGGAUCGUAAAACUCUGUUAUUAGGGAAGAACAAACGUGUAAGUAACUGGGCACGUCUUGACGGUACCUAAGCAGAAAGCCACGGCUAACUACGU
rnacentral:rRNA from 1 species